rnacentral:tRNA from 1 species
GGAAGGGUGCAGGAGUGGUUGAACUGGCACGCCUGGAAAGUGUGUAAAGCAGCAAUGUUUUCGAGGGUUCGAAUCCCUCCUCUUCCGCCA